CCCGGGGUUUCGCACUGCGCCGCGGGUCGAAGUACCGCGAGUUGGCCCUGACUGUCUGCAGGAUGAGGGUGUCGAGGAGGGUUCCAGGCCAGCGUGCCUGCCUCGCCUCCAGCCCGGGGAUGGGCCUCCAGCGCUUUCCAGGCUAACUCAGCGAGCCCAGUCUUCUUAGUCAACUGAGAGACAUGUCUACAGAACAGACCAUGUGGCCAACUCCUCCUCCUCCCCAUGCCCCAGGCAAGAGGACUCUGGGAAGACAUCCAGGAAGCAAGGAGUCUGUAGCCAGCUGCCUUCAGAAGCCCAAGGUCAUUGGCCCUGCCACUCUGGUUUGCCAACUCCUCAAGGACCACAUAGGCCCAACUGUUAUGGAAAGGGUGGACCAGAGAGAGGGGCUUCUUUUCCUUCGGCUUUGGGGAAGGCAAAGGCAAUUCCUGCCACUGCCCACUCCAGAGACGGCCGCAUCUUCCAGGUGACUAAAGGCAAGUGAUGGUUCUGAGGAGACCAGGACUGUGGGGAGCUCCUGGGCUCAGUGGGGGGAGCUCCU
rnacentral:lncRNA from 1 species